rnacentral:tRNA from 1 species
UCCGUUGUAGUCUAGCUGGUUAGGAUACUGGGCUCUCACCAGAGAGACCCGGGUUCGAGUCCCGGCAACGGAA